GAUGAACGCUGGCGGCGUGCCUAAUACAUGCAAGUAGAACGCUGAAGGAGGAGCUUGCUCUUCUGGAUGAGUUGCGAACGGGUGAGUAACGCGUAGGUAACCUGCCUGGUAGCGGGGGAUAACUAUUGGAAACGAUAGCUAAUACCGCAUGACAACAGUUAUUGCAUGAUAACUGUUUAAAAGGGGCAACUGCUCCACUACCAGAUGGACCUGCGUUGUAUUAGCUAGUUGGUGAGGUAACGGCUCACCAAGGCGACGAUACAUAGCCGACCUGAGAGGGUGAUCGGCCACACUGGGACUGAGACACGGCCCAGACGCCUACGGGAGGCAGCAGUAGGGAAUCUUCGGCAAGGGACGGAAGUCUGACCGAGCAACGCCGCGUGAGUGAAGAAGGUUUUCGGAUCGUAAAGCUCUGUUGUAAGAGAAGAACGAGUGUGAGAGUGGAAAGUUCACACUGUGACGGUAUCUUACCAGAAAGGGACGGCUAACUACGUG
rnacentral:rRNA from 1 species